rnacentral:rRNA from 1 species
AGUGGCGGACGGGUGAGUAACGCGUGAGAAUCUGCCUUGGGGUCGGGGAUAACCACUGGAAACGGUGGCUAAUACCGGAUAAGCCGAUUGGUGAAAGAUUUAUUGCCCGAAGAGGAGCUCGCGUCUGAUUAGCUAGUUGGUGAGGUAAGAGCUCACCAAGGCAGCGAUCAGUAGCUGGUCUGAGAGGACGAUCAGCCACACUGGGACUGAGACACGGCCCAGACUCCUACGGGAGGCAGCAGUGGGGAAUUUUCCGCAAUGGGCGAAAGCCUGACGGAGCAAGACCGCGUGAGGGAGGAAGGCUCUUGGGUUGUAAACCUCUUUUCUCAGGGAAGAAGCUCUGACGGUACCUGAGGAAUCAGCCUCGGCUAACUCCGUGCCAGCAGCCGCGGUAAUACGGAGGAGGCAAGCGUUAUCCGGAAUUAUUGGGCGUAAAGCGUCCGCAGGUGGCGAUUCAAGUCUGCUGUCAAAGCACGGGGCUUAACUCCGUAAAGGCAGUGGAAACUGAAUAGCUAGAGUGCCGUAGGGGUAGAGGGAAUUCCCGGUGUAGCGGUGAAAUGCGUAGAGAUCGGGAAGAACAUCGGUGGCGAAAGCGCUCUACUGGACGGCAACUGACACUCAGGGACGAAAGCUAGGGGAGCGAAUGGGAUUAGAUACCCC